UUGAAUGUAAAAUUUUUAUUUAAUUAUUAUUAGUUAUGGUCUUUAAAAUUAAAAAUUUUGGCGGUAUUUUAGUCUUUUUAGAGGAACCUGUUCUUUAAAUGAUAAUCCACGAUUUUAUUAACUUUUAUUAUUAAUUUGUAGAUCGUCGUAGUUAAAUAUUUUGUUAGAAUUAUAAUAUUUAAGAUUUUUAUAAAAAAAAAUUAAUCAGAUCAAGGUGCAGUUUAUAUAAAAGUAGAAAUGGGUUACAUUAAAUUCUUUUUGGAUUUUACAUACUGGUACCUGAAUGAAAUUGGAUUUACAUGUAAUAUUAAUCAAUCA
rnacentral:rRNA from 1 species